rnacentral:misc_RNA from 1 species
GGUUCACCUCUAACCGGGUGAGCC